AUUAAUUAAUGUCAACGCUGAGAGAAGACACUCGUGUUUAUUAGCUACAGAACUAUGUCUCAUUGCAGCUAUAAACACGACGACUUUUAUUCGCCAACAGAGGAAACACCGAGAUAUUUACACUGUGUUGCUGGGAGACCAGUGUGCUGACUCAAGGCUGCCCUCUGCAGGACAAACGAGGCUGCCCCCUUCCAGUCUUGGCAACUGCAGCCCUGCAAAAGCAAUGUGACUUCUGUAUACCUUGAAUCUUGAACCCACCAUAAGGACCUGUUUGACAAACUCACCUGACGAUUCUUCAUGUCCAGAAAACGUGUCAGUCUCUCGAGUGACAAUUAAGAGGACACUGUUAUUGUGCAUGUGUGUUUGAGA